UCGUGGAUAACAUCAACUUUCGGUUCCAAAAACGGAGGUAACUUUCUGGGUAUGUAUGUAACCAUAGCAACUAACUCUCUGAAGAUAACCUGCUCGGGAACAGGUUUCAGUGUAACUUCGUUGCAGAAGGUUGGUGAGCAUGGCGUGCCCUUUUGAUGAGGAUCCUGUGGACAUAGAAGCACAAAUUAUACGAGUUUUUUUUCGUCGGGAGAGGGUUAUAAGACCGCGUAUUGAUGUGUUUGCAUACCCUAAUGAAUAUUUGAAAGAGCGUUAUCGUUUUUCAAAAGAUUCGUUAGUUUAUUUAACACGUCUUUUAAAACCGCAUAUCGCAAAUGUGACAAACCGCGGUUCUGCGCUUAGCACUUAGUCUGGCCAUUUUUUGUACAGUGUGGGCGAUUCAGAGCAUGUGAGAAAGGCAACUGUGUGUAGAGCCGUUCAUACAGUAUGUCUGGCACUAAAACAGUUCUUACCCGCGUUUGUGCAGUUCCCUGGCCAUAAACCUCUGCUUGUUAUUAAAGACGAAUUCCACAGAGUGGCAGGGUUUCCAAAUGUAAUUGGGUGCAUUAAUGGCACUCACAUUCAAGCUCCAACAAAAAAUGAGGGAGACUGUUAAUAGAAAAUCUAUUCAUAGUAUCAAUGUGCAGGUAACAACUUAAUUUUUUCCCUUCUUAAAAUCAUUAAAGUCAUUACUUUUUCCACUAACUAGGUAACAUGUGAGGCAACCCAAAUCAUUACCAAUGUCGAGGCAAAAUGGCUGGGAUCUGUGCAUGAUGCCAGAAUUUUCCGCAAGUCAUCAUUAUGCCAGAAAUUUCAGCAGGGUAUGUUUUGCUUUAUACAAUUGUCCUCCCCCCCCUUUUUUACUAUAUUUGUGUUGUACACUUCAAUCAUUACAGGACAGUACAAUGGUUACUUGCUGGGGGACAGAGGAUACCCUUGUCUGCCCUAUUUAAUGACACCCUACCCUGAACCUGAGCCUGGACCACAGACACAGUUUAACCUGGCUCACAGCCGAACACGGGCCAAGGUGGAGAUGACUUAUAGGGAUCCUCAAAUCUCGGUUUCAGUGUCUGCGUGGGCUCCGGGUCAGUCCAGAAGCGCAUGCUACAUUGUAGUGGCUUGUGUUGUGCUUCACAAUAUUGCCACUAUAAGAGGAGAGAGCCACCCUCCUUGUAUUGAGGAAGAUGGCCCAGAGGAACAUCUACAGAUUUUAGAGGCCAACAGAGACGGAAGAAUUUUGAGAGACUGGAUCUGUCAAAAUGACUUUUAUUAAUUUUUUUGCACUGGUCUGGAUUAUUUCUUUAUUUCCUGAAAAACAAUAAAAGUAAAAUUCAA